AUCGCUUCUCGGCUUUUUGGCUAAGAUAAAGUGUAGUAUCUAUUCUUAUCAUUCCAGUAACUAUCAGGUAUAUUUUGGGAGGAAUCAUU
ensembl:snRNA U2 U2 spliceosomal RNA